CCUACGGGUGGCUGCAGUCGAGAAUCAUUCACAAUGGGGGAAACCCUGAUGGUGCGACGCCGCGUGGGUGAAUGAAGGUCUUCGUAUUGUAAACUCCUGUCAUGUGGGAGCAAGUUAAAAAGGUAGCACCACAAGAGGAAGAGACGGCUAACUCGGUGCCAGCAGCCGCGGUAAUACAGAGGUCUCAAGCGUUGUUCGUAAUCACUGGGUGUAAAGCGUGCGUAGGCUGUGUCGUAAGUCGUGUGUGAAAGGCGCGGGCUCCACCCGCGGACGGCAUAUGAUACUGCGAGACUAGAGUAAUGGAGGGGGAACCGGAAUUCUCGGUGUAGCAGUGAAAUGCGUAGAUA
rnacentral:rRNA from 1 species